AGUGGUGUGGCCUAAUGGAAAGAGCCUGGACCUGAGAGCCAGAGGACCUAGGUUCUAAUCCUGGCUCUGCCA
rnacentral:tRNA from 1 species